UACGUAGGGUGUGAGCGUUGUCCGGAAUUACUGGGCGUAAAGAGCUCGUAGGUGGUUUGUCGCGUUGUCCGUGAAAACUCACAACUCAAUUGUGGGCGUGCGGGCGAUACGGGCAGACUGGAGUACUGCAGGGGAGACUGGAAUUCCUGGUGUAGCGGUGGAAUGCGCAGAUAUCAGGAGGAACACCGGUGGCGAAGGCGGGUCUCUGGGCAGUAACUGACGCUGAGGAGCGAAAGCGUGGGGAGCGAACAGG
rnacentral:rRNA from 1 species